rnacentral:tRNA from 1 species
UAGCUCAGUGGUAGAGCGUCCGCUUUGCAUGCGGAAGGUCCGGGUUUCGAUCCCCCG